UACGUAGGGGGCAAGCGUUGUUCGGAAUUACUGGGCGUAAAGGGCGCGUAGGCGGUCCGGUAAGUCCGGUGUGAAAGCCCGGGGCUCAACCCCGGAACUGCUUUCGAUACUGUCGAACUUGAGUGCGGAAGAGGCGAGUGGAAUUCCUAGUGUAGCGGUGAAAUGCGUAGAUAUUGGGAAGAACACCAGAGGCGAAGGCGGCUCGCUGGGCCGAUACUGACGCUGAGGCGCGAAAGCGUGGGGAGCAAACAGG
rnacentral:rRNA from 1 species